GACGAACGCUGGCGGCGUGCUUAACACAUGCCAGUCGAACGGAAAGGCCCUGCUUUUGUGGGGUGCUCGAGUGGCGAACGGGUGAGUAACACGUGAGUAACCUGCCCUUGACUUUGGGAUAAUUUCAGGAAACUGGGGCUAAUACCGGAUAGGAGCUCCUGCUGCAUGGUGGGGGUUGGAAAGUUUCGGCGGUUGGGGAUGGACUCGCGGCUUAUCAGCUUGUUGGUGGGGUAGUGGCUUACCAAGGCUUUGACGGGUAGCCGGCCUGAGAGGGUGACCGGCCACAUUGGGACUGAGAUACGGCCCAGACUCCUACGGGAGGCAGCAGUGGGGAAUAUUGCACAAUGGGCGGAAGCCUGAUGCAGCAACGCCGCGUGCGGGAUGACGGCCUUCGGGUUGUAAACCGCUUUCGCCUGUGACGAAGCGUGAGUGACGGUAAUGGGUAAAGAAGCACCGGCUAACUACGUG
rnacentral:rRNA from 1 species